rnacentral:rRNA from 1 species
UGGGGAAUAUUGCACAAUGGGCGCAAGCCUGAUGCAGCCAUGCCGCGUGUGUGAAGAAGGCCUUCGGGUUGUAAAGCACUUUCAGCGAGGAGGAAGGUGGUGAGCUUAAUACGCUCAUCAAUUGACGUUACUCGCAGAAGAAGCACCGGCUAACUCCGUGCCAGCAGCCGCGGUAAUACGGAGGGUGCAAGCGUUAAUCGGAAUUACUGGGCGUAAAGCGCACGCAGGCGGUUUGUUAAGUCAGAUGUGAAAUCCCCGGGCUCAACCUGGGAACUGCAUUUGAAACUGGCAAGCUAGAGUCUCGUAGAGGGGGGUAGNAUUCCAGGUGUAGCGGUGAAAUGCGUAGAGAUCUGGAGGAAUACCGGUGGCGAAGGCGGCCCCCUGGACGAAGACUGACGCUCAGGUGCGAAAGCGUGGGGAGCAAACAGGAUUAGAUACCCAUGGUAGUCCACGCUGUAAACGAUGUCGAUUUGGAGGUUGUGCCCUUGAGGCGUGGCUUCCGGAGCUAACGCGUUAAAUCGACCGCCUGGGGAGUACGGCCGCAAGGUUAAAACUUAAAUGAAUUGACGGGGUCAUAGC